rnacentral:rRNA from 1 species
UGGGGAAUUUUGGACAAUGGGCGAAAGCCUGAUCCAGCAAUGCCGCGUGUGUGAAGAAGGCCUUCGGGUUGUAAAGCACUUUUGUCCGGAAAGAAAUCCUUGGCUCUAAUACAGUCGGGGGAUGACGGUACCGGAAGAAUAAGCACCGGCUAACUACGUGCCAGCAGCCGCGGUAAUACGUAGGGUGCAAGCGUUAAUCGGAAUUACUGGGCGUAAAGCGUGCGCAGGCGGUUUGCUAAGACCGAUGUGAAAUCCCCGGGCUCAACCUGGGAACUGCAUUGGUGACUGGCAGGCUAGAGUAUGGCAGAGGGGGGUAGAAUUCCACGUGUAGCAGUGAAAUGCGUAGAGAUGUGGAGGAAUACCGAUGGCGAAGGCAGCCCCCUGGGCAAUACUGACGCUCAUGCACGAAAAGCGUGGGGGAGCAAACAGGAUUAGAUACCCUGGUAGUCCACGCCCUAAAACGAUGUCAACUAGUUGUUGGGGAUUCAUUUCCUUAGUAACGUAGCUAACGCGUGAAGUUGACCGCCUGGGGAGUACGGUCGCAAGAUUAAAACUUCAAAUGAAUUGACGGGGUCAUAGCUGUUUCCU